UCCUUCUUAGCUCAGUUGGUAGAGCGCGUCACUAGUAUAUAGCUAUGGGAAGUCUGAAUCAUAAUGACGAGGUCAGUCGUUCAAGUCGGCUAGAAGGAA